rnacentral:rRNA from 1 species
UACGAAGGGGGCUAGCGUUGUUCGGAUUUACUGGGCGUAAAGCGCACGUAGGCGGACUAUUAAGUCAGGGGUGAAAUGCCGAGGCUCAACCUCGGAACUGCCUUUGAUACUGGCAAUCUGGAGAUCGGGAGAGGUGAGUGGAAUUCCGAGUGUAGAGGUGAAAUUCGUAGAUAUUCGCAAGAACACCAGUGGCGAAGGCGGCUCACUGGCCCGAUACUGACGCUGAGGCACGAAAGCGUGGGGAGCAAACAGG